AGUGAAUGCCAAAGGCAAACAAGUGUUAAGAAGUUUUUUUUUUGAAAAAAAAAUAUGGAUUUGGUCAAGCAGCUAAGCGUCCUGCUGCUCAUCUGCGCUUCUUUUUUCAUCUUCGUGUGUAACGGUGUGCUAACCUUCACACCCGGGUUGGGAGAAAAUGGAUCACCUGUUACCCCACCACCAAACUUUUUACCAUACGGAAGCAAUAUUGGAAAAAGAUCACCUGUCGCCUCACCAGAUUUUGCUGGGCGUCCCACUGAUAAUUACACCCCUAGUAUACCUAAUAUAGGCUGGGUUGGAAAAAGAUCACCUGUCGCAUCAGCAGAUUUCGAUGCACCUCCUGAAGAUCAGCUAACAUUCUCACCAGGAUGGGGCCAGGGGAAACGAUGGGCUUCUGCCGGAUCACCAGAUUUUGGUACUGAUGAAGAUCAGCCAACAUUUAUAAACAAAUGGGGUAACAGGAUCGGCUUAUGAUCAGCUUAGUUUUUUUCACCCUCCUCACAAGACGACUCCUCCAUGAAUUAGAUUGAGGUCCACCAAUGCUGGAAUGAAGCCAGUAGUCUUACAAAACAUGACGCAUUAAUGCUUGACCAAUAUUGAAGUCAACCAAACUUAAUAUCUCUGGAUGUCAUCAAAAACAAAGCAUACAAGAAAAAAGUUCUAAAAAGUUUUGUGCAAUGUAAAAAUAAGUUCUUUUAAAUAAUUUAUUAUAAUGUAAUCAUAUAUAAUCAUAAAACCUGAUUGAUAAGUUUA